GGGUCGUGCGCCUGGUACGUCUUCUUCUUCCUGAUCCGCCUCUUGUACUUGGGGUGAGGCGCCAGCCUCGUCACCUCCACCGCCACCGUCUUAUCGUUGACGGCGGAGACCACCCGGCCCUGCAGGCUCCUCAUGGCCCGGACGGUGAGCGGGAGGGACGUCGGCGCCCAGCGGGGAGAAGCCAAGGAGCAGGGCUUCGGGGAGGAGAAGAGAGAGGCUCUUCCCGACUGGGAGCCAUUCAGGAAUGGAGAAGCGAGGAGUUUCGGGGUGGUGCUCGGAAGUUGCAGGAGGGAG
rnacentral:lncRNA from 1 species